rnacentral:rRNA from 1 species
GGCUCGGGAUGAACGCUAGCGGCAGGCCUAACACAUGCAAGUCGAGGGGUAGAGUUCUUCGGGACUUGAGACCGGCGCACGGGUGCGUAACGCGUAUGCAAUCUACCUUAUACAGGGGAAUAGCCCAGAGAAAUUUGGAUUAAUGCCCCAUAGUGUUAUCGAAUCGCAUGGUUUGAUAACUAAAGUUCCAACGGUAUAAGAUGAGCAUGCGUCCCAUUAGUUAGUUGGUGAGGUAAAGGCUCACCAAGCCGACGAUCUGUAGCUGGUCUGAGAGGACGACCAGCCACACUGGGACUGAGACACGGCCCAGACUCCUACGGGAGGCAGCAGUGGGGAAUUUUGGACAAUGGGCGCAAGCCUGAUCCAGCAAUGCCGCGUGCAGGAUGAAGGCCUUCGGGUUGUAAACUGCUUUUGUACGGAACGAAACGGUGAGCUCUAAUACAGUUUGCUAAUGACGGUACCGUAAGAAUAAGCACCGGCUAACUACGUG